GGUGAGGCACCUUUCUUCAGCUCCAGCACGGCAUAGAGAGUUGUCCCACUUUUGGACAGCUGGCGGGCUGCUUCAUCCAAAUGAGACAUGAUCUGGGUCAGAGGGGAAGAAGCAUUUGUGAGAACUUCCACAGGCGAGGCCACAGAGGAGUGAACUUCCAGUGACAGGAAACUCAUUGCCUUCUGGGUCUAGGUGACCUCUGGCUCCGUGUGGACUCCCUGCUCGGCCUGGUGCUCUACCUCUACCUCAGGGUCGCUCUCUUCAGCUGGUGAGGCCUCACCCAACCUCCAUCCGGGUGUGAAACUUCACACCGCCGAGGGCCAGCGGCCAACUGCGCUUGCGCGCUGCGCCAACACUCCAGGUCGCUUUUUGGCGCCGCUGGAAAAUCUAGGGGUGAGGCUACGUGAGCCCUGGGACUUAUUUCGCUCCUGAGCACAGGGAUUAGCCCUGUGCCAGCGGCCUCACGACAUUUCCAGCGCUUCCGGUGGGCGUGGCCGCGGGCCAACCUUUCCGCCUUGGGAGAGGUUCACCAGUCACCUGCAGGGCUGGGCUCCUGCACUCACUUGACGAAACAUUAUCGGUUUGCACGCCGGGGUUGUAUGAAAGGUUUUAUUUAUUUAUGAGAGACAGAGAGAGGUGCAGAGACACAAGCAGAGGGAGAAGCAGGC